UGAUGUGAGCUUCUGCAAAUGAUG
rnacentral:piRNA from 1 species